GUGCUUCCUCAGGCAGCACAUGUGAAAAAUUGGAAACAAUACAGAGAAGUUUAGCAUGGCCCUUGCGAAAGGAUGACACAAUAACUGUGAAGCAUUUCCACUUUGU